CACGGGGAGGUAGUGACGAAAAAUAACGAUACGGGACUCAUCCGAGGCCCCGUAAUCGGAAUGAGUACACUUUAAAACUUUUCCCGAGGAUCAAUUGGAGGGUAAGUCUGGUGCCAGCAGCCGCGGUAAUUCCAGCUCCAAUAGCGUAUAUUAAAGUUGUUGCGGUUAAAAAGCUCGUAGUCGAAUCUGUGUCCCGCGCCGCUGGUUCAUCGCUCGCGGUGUUUAACUGGCGUGUCUCGCGGGACGUCCUGCCGGUGGGCGCUCGUAUCGCUUCGGCGGUGCGUGGCCCAACUCGUAGCCGUCUCGCGCGGUUGCGAAUCCCAUCGCGGUGCUCUUUAUUGAGUGUCGAGGUGGGCCGGCACGUUUACUUUGAACAAAUUAGAGUGCUUAAAGCAGGCCAAUUUUGCCUGAAUAUUGUGUGCAUGGAAUAAUGAAAUAGGACCUCGGUUCUAUUUUGUUGGUUUUCGGAACCCCGAGGUAAUGAUUAAUAGGAACGGAUGGGGGCAUUCGUAUUGCGACGUUAGAGGUGAAAUUCUUGGAUCGUCGCAAGACGGACAGAAGCGAAAGCAUUUGCCAAAAACGCUUUCAUUGAUCAAGAACGAAAGUUAGAGGUUCGAAGGCGAUCAGAUACCGCCCUAGUUCUAACCAUAAACGAUGCCAGCUAGCGAUCCGCCGACGUUCCUCCGAUGACUCGGCGGGCAGCUUCCGGGAAACCAAAGCUUUUGGGUUCCGGGGGAAGUAUGGUUGCAAAGCUGAAACUUAAAGGAAUUGACGGAAGGGCACCACCAGGAGUGGAGCCUGCGGCUUAAUUUGACUCAACACGGGACACCUCACCAGGCCC
rnacentral:rRNA from 1 species